AAGAGGCAUUGAUUGAUCGCAAAAAAAAGAGGCAUUGAUGUAUCCUGGCUGGACUCACGUAUCGAUAGGAAAUAACCGGCCACAUUGACCCAGUCUAGCGCCAGCCGCAUCGUCUUCUCCUCUGCCUCCUCGUUUUUCUGUUCCGCUGUUCCCCAAUCCCAAAUCGGCAAAUCCCCAAUCACAGCGAAAGUGGCGACGACCGAUGAUGGGGCUCUCUCGCCUUGAGAUUUCUAGCCGUUUUGGAGGGAUUAAUGGAGGAGACCAUGAUUCAUUAAUUUCCAAGAAAUUUGGCCCGAAUUUGCAACGGGUUCAAGGACAAAAUACUGAAGAAAGGGGCAAGAGGAGUAGAGCAGCCGCACGCAGCGGGUACGGACGGGCGGCGCGACGGCAGCGGCGCCCGGCGGUCAGCAGCAAGCCGACAACAACAAGUCAAGCAGCAUCCUAGCUCCAGGUUCAUUUGUUUCAACUUUUAUUUUGCAUGCCUAAUUCAUCCUGUGUGCCAAGAUGUCAUCUAGAAAGGCCUCUGGUCAUGAAAAGCAACAACAAUAUGCAUUGAGAAGGGCCUAUUUGAUCAGAUUAAUGUUGAUAAUAUUAUCAAUGACUUUGCAUCAACAAAUUUUAGAAAAAAGCGCUUCACAUAGUUGGUGCAUUUGUCUAUUUUGCAUGUCAGUACAAGAUCUGAGUACAAGCUGGAGAGCGGGCUAGAGACCUGGAAUGCAAGAUGUGGAGAGCAAGCACAAGUUUGAGCUGAAAUGUUAUAAGAUCAUGAGUAGAUGUUUUGUGAGUUGAACACUGUCACCCAUAAUAUCAUGAGUAUUUUCUUGAGAAGA